UCUAACCUGCGACAACGAGACCGUUUCCCCCAAAUGAGCGCCCGCGGCCAAGUGGAUCAGCCAAGGGGGUAGGAGGCUGAGGGCCAGGUCCACUGAGGCAGGACCACGCAGGGGUGGGGGACUAGGUCUUUAAAGAAUCUUCAGUUCUGAAAUUGUGUGUGACAGGGUCUAGGUUUCAAUUUAAAAUAUAGACAAAACCCUGAAAUACGAUGCACAGUGAGGAAUUGGAAAUGAAACCCACAGAAGAAGAUGCCUUGUACAUCCCACAGCCCCUCCGGUCCCUUUGAGGGAGCUGUGGUUUACUCCUGGCCUCGGCCAGGGGCUCUCAUGCUACAGGGCAACAGUGAAAGCGCAGACCAAAGGCCUUCCCUCUGCCCAUCUGCCAAGGUCAAGUACAACCCGUGGAAAAAUUAUCCGAGUGCCUGGAUGAAAAAUGCACAGGUAAACUACUUUCAACUACUUUCUCUCUGUCUUAGUUUCUUACCUAUAAAAUAAAAAGGGAUGGCUUGAAUUUUAUGGACAAAAAAAGGGACAGGCUACCAAUUUUUUAUUCUCUUAAAGACAAAAAGCAGCUGUCCUCUAAUACAAUUUUUAGAAGAGUCCUUUUAACAGUUGUGUCUGUUGACAAAUGCAGCAUUAUGGAAAGACAAGGGCUGUGGUCAGGGGCACAGGGCUGGCACUCAGUCUGCGACAUGAGAUCCUGGCCCCCCACUUCCUCAGGCGGGACUGAGCCUUUCCACCUGUCAAUUCAGAAUAACCAGACACUGCGUUUUUCUUUCUAGGCCUUUUCAAGAUAUAAUUCUAGACAUUGAAAAGUAUAUCUAAAAAAGGAACCAAGAGGCUGGUCUUUAACUAAAAUGUCUUUUUCUUAUUAAACAGACAUCAUAUCCCCAUAAUCCUGGGAGAUGGGUUAACAAGCAAAUAUCUGAAGCCUGCAGGUCAGUGCCCAGCGCACCAAGGAAGCUUGUUCAAAUGUGGUUUCCUUUGGGCCUGAGCCCCUGGAAACUUUUCCCCAGUCCGGCACCGGCCCAGGCGGGACAGGGGAGCCAACACGCUGGACCCUCUCCCAAACCUCUCUGGCAUUCCUGUCUCAGACUCAGCAAUGGAAUUACAGGUGUUCUUUUCUGAUCGUGCCACUUUCUCGCCCUGUUUUGCAACACUCUUCGGAGCACAGAGUGGACCUGACUGCUGCUCCUUCUGCUGCUCUAGGACCCAUUCAGCCAGUUGUCCUGGCCGCACGGAAGGCCUCCUGAGCCCUGCGUGCAGGCGACCCCACCGCGGGGUCCCAGGGUCCUAGACCCCGCACACGGGGGCCUGUUCACAUCACACAAGCACCACGCCAGCGAUCACAGUAACAAGAACCGGUAACACACACGGCACCAGCUGACUGGCGUCACCGCGAAGCACUCUGCAUGUUUAGUCAUUUCGCCCUCCCAGCGCCCUGGGAGGGGCGGGUAUCGUGCUCCUUUACUGAAGAGGAACUAGCCCUGGAAGGGUCAGCAGCCUGACCCAAGGGGGCACAGCCAGUAAGUAGCUGAACCUGGGUUUGAACCCAGGUAUCCAGUCCCAGAGUCUGCACACUAAAUCUCUACAUGGUCUGCCUCAUGGGCUGGGGUCAGAUCUGACCGCAGACAGAUCCAAAAGCUCCAGCUCCGCAGCACGACUCUUUUGCCAAAAGCUCCAGCUCCGAAGCACGACCACCUUCACUGAGCUUCCAGACACCAAGAACACCUGGGAUCACAGGACAAUACAGACCUCAGUGGUGGGGGCCCCCCACCCCCACUGUACUGUAAUCACAUCCCUUCAGAUUAUUAUUUCAGCCGUCCCUUUUAGGGACACUGGACACUCGGACUGUUCCCUUGCAAGGAAUGCAGAGCUGACCAGCAGGACAAUGAAACGGAAGGAGAAAAACCCAGCAAAGGUCUAUAAAUCGUGGAAACAAAAAUAUAUGCGCUUCAACUCCAUUUCUAUUAUAAAUGUGAAGGGGGAGCCACUCUUCCAAUCCUGGAUUCAUGGAAGCGUGGAGCUCAGAGGUCAUCUGGUCACACACACACACCGAUGGGCAAGUAAGGCCCGGGGCUCCCUGACUUGUUUCUCCUCAAUAUCCUCGUGGUAGAGUUUCUAAGAAGGUGGGACAACACUGAAGUAGAAGAACCAGGACAAGAAAUGAGGUCGCUGAACCCUUACCACAGAAUUCUUCCCAGGCUGUCCCUUGACUUGAGACUGGAACAGUUCUUUAUGCUAAAAGGUUUUAUUCUCUGACAGCCACAAAAGCAAUAAAUAUGUAUUACUUAAUAAUUAGUAACAGUUAA